ACGAACGCUGGCGGCGUGCUUAACACAUGCAAGUCGAACGGAAAGGCCCCUUUGGGGGUACUCGAGUGGCGAACGGGUGAGUAACACGUGAGUAACCUGCCCUUGACUUCGGGAUAACUUCAGGAAACUGGGGCUAAUACCGGAUAGGAAUCCUUGCUGCAUGGUGGGGGUUGGAAAGCUUCGGCGGUUUUGGAUGGACUCGCGGCUUAUCAGCUUGUUGGUGGGGUAGUGGCUUACCAAGGCUUUGACGGGUAGCCGGCCUGGGAGGGCGACCGGCCACAUUGGGACUGAGAUACGGCCCAGGCUCCUACGGGUGGCAGAAGUGGGGAAUAUUGCACAAGGGGCGGAGGCCUGAUGCAGCAACGCCGCGGGCGGGAUGACGGCCUUCGGGUUGUAAACCGCUUUCAGCAGGGGCGAAGCUUGUGGUGACGGUACCUGCAGAAGAAGCACCGGCUAACUACGUG
rnacentral:rRNA from 1 species